rnacentral:rRNA from 1 species
AUGUUCAUAACCCUUUGUUGUCCGACUCUGUUGCCUCCGGGGCGACCCUGCCUUCGGGCGGGGGCUCCGGGUGGACACUUCAAACUCUUGCGUAACUUUGCAGUCUGAGUAAACUUAAUUAAUAAAUUAAAACUUUUAACAACGGAUCUCUUGGUUCUGGCAUCGAUGAAGAACGCAGCGAAAUGCGAUAAGUAAUGUGAAUUGCAGAAUUCAGUGAAUCAUCGAAUCUUUGAACGCACAUUGCGCCCCCUGGUAUUCCGGGGGGCAUGCCUGUUCGAGCGUCAUUUCACCACUCAAGCCUCGCUUGGUAUUGGGCAUCGCGGUCCGCCGCGUGCCUCAAAUCGACCGGCUGGGUCUUCUGUCCCCUAAGCGUUGUGGAAACUAUUCGCUAAAGGGUGUUCGGGAGGCUACGCCGUAAAACAACCCCAUUUCUAAGGUUGACCUCGGAUCAGGUAGGGAUACCCGCUGAACUUAAGCAUAU